UACGUAGGGGGCAAGCGUUGUCCGGAUUUAUUGGGCGUAAAGCGCUCGCAGGUGGUUUGUCGCGUCGUGCGUGAAAGACCCCGGCUCAACUGGGGAGGGUCGUGCGAUACGGGCGAACUGGAGGCCAGUAGGGGGAUGCGGAAUUCCGGGUGUAGUGGUGGAAUGCGUAGAGAUGUGGAGGAACACCGAUGGCGAAGGCAGCCCCCUGGGCUAACACUGACGCUCAUGCACGAAAGCGUGGGGAGCAAACAGG
rnacentral:rRNA from 1 species